rnacentral:rRNA from 1 species
AAGGCGGCUGCUACCAUGCAGUCGAGCGGUAGCACAGAGAGCUUGCUCUCGGGUGACGAGCGGCGGACGGGUGAGUAAUGUCUGGGAAACUGCCUGAUGGAGGGGGAUAACUACUGGAAACGGUAGCUAAUACCGCAUAACGUCGCAAGACCAAAGUGGGGGACCUUCGGGCCUCAUGCCAUCAGAUGUGCCCAGAUGGGAUUAGCUGGUAGGUGGGGUAACGGCUCACCUAGGCGACGAUCCCUAGCUGGUCUGAGAGGAUGACCAGCCACACUGGAACUGAGACACGGUCCAGACUCCUACGGGAGGCAGCAGUGGGGAAUAUUGCACAAUGGGCGCAAGCCUGAUGCAGCCAUGCCGCGUGUGUGAAGAAGGCCUUCGGGUUGUAAAGCACUUUCAGCGGGGAGGAAGGCGGUGAGGUUAAUAACCUCAUCGAUUGACGUUACCCGCAGAAGAAGCACCGGCUAACUCCGUGCCAGCAGCCGCGGUAAUACGGAGGGUGCAAGCGUUAAUCGGAAUUACUGGGCGUAAAGCGCACGCAGGCGGUCUGUCAAGUCGGAUGUGAAAUCCCCGGGCUCAACCUGGGAACUGCAUUCGAAACUGGCAGGCUAGAGUCUUGUAGAGGGGGGUAGAAUUCCAGGUGUAGCGGUGAAAUGCGUAGAGAUCUGGAGGAAUACCGGUGGCGAAGGCGGCCCCCUGGACAAAGACUGACGCUCAGGUGCGAAAGCGUGGGGAGCAAACAGGAUUAGAUACCCUGGUAGUCCACGCUGUAAACGAUGUCGAUUUGGAGGUUGUGCCCUUGAGGCGUGGCUUCCGGAGCUAACGCGUUAAAUCGACCGCCUGGGGAGUACGGCCGCAAGGUUAAAACUCAAAUGAAUUGACGGGGGCCCGCACAAGCGGUGGAGCAUGUGGUUUAAUUCGAUGCAACGCGAAGAACCUUACCUGGUCUUGACAUCCACAGAACUUUCCAGAGAUGGAUUGGUGCCUUCGGGAACUGUGAGACAGGUGCUGCAUGGCUGUCGUCAGCUCGUGUUGUGAAAUGUUGGGUUAAGUCCCGCAACGAGCGCAACCCUUAUCCUUUGUUGCCAGCGGUUAGGCCGGGAACUCAAAGGAGACUGCCAGUGAUAAACUGGAGGAAGGUGGGGAUGACGUCAAGUCAUCAUGGCCCUUACGACCAGGGCUACACACGUGCUACAAUGGCAUAUACAAAGAGAAGCGACCUCGCGAGAGCAAGCGGACCUCAUAAAGUAUGUCGUAGUCCGGAUUGGAGUCUGCAACUCGACUCCAUGAAGUCGGAAUCGCUAGUAAUCGUAGAUCAGAAUGCUACGGUGAAUACGUUCCCGGGCCUUGUACACACCGCCCGUCACACCAUGGGAGUGGGUUGCAAAAGAAGUAGGUAGCUUAACCUUCGGGAGGGCGCUACCACUUUGAUACGG